GGGUUGUGAGGUUAAGCGACUAAGCGUACACGGUGGAUGCCCUGGCAGUCAGAGGCGAUGAAGGACGUGCUAAUCUGCGAAAAGCGUCGGUAAGGUGAUAUGAACCGUUAUAACCGGCGAUGUCCGAAUGGGGAAACCCAGUGCAAUUCGUUGCACUAUCGUUAACUGAAUACAUAGGUUAACGAGGCGAACCGGGGGAACUGAAACAUCUAAGUACCCCGAGGAAAAGAAAUCAACCGAGAUUCCCCCAGUAGCGGCGAGCGAACGGGGAGCAGCCCAGAGUCUGAAUCAGCUUGUGUGUUAGUGGAACGGUCUGGAAAGUCCGACGGUACAGGGUGAUAGUCCCGUACACCAAAAUGCACAGGUUGUGAACUCGAAGAGUAGGGCGGGACACGUGGUAUCCUGUCUGAAUAUGGGGGGACCAUCCUCCAAGGCUAAAUACUCCUGACUGACCGAUAGUGAACCAGUACCGUGAGGGAAAGGCGAAAAGAACCCCGGCGAGGGGAGUGAAAAAGAACCUGAAACCGUGUACGUACAAGCAGUGGGAGCACCUUCGGGUGUGACUGCGUACCUUUUGUAUAAUGGGUCAGCGACUUAUAUUCUGUAGCAAGGUUAACCGUAUAGGGGAGCCGCAGGGAAACCGAGUCUUAACUGGGCGUUAAGUUGCAGGGUAUAGACCCGAAACCCGGUGAUCUAGCCAUGGGCAGGUUGAAGGUUGGGUAACACUAACUGGAGGACCGAACCGACUAAUGUUGAAAAAUUAGCGGAUGACUUGUGGCUGGGGGUGAAAGGCCAAUCAAACCGGGAGAUAGCUGGUUCUCCCCGAAAGCUAUUUAGGUAGCGCCUCGUGAACUCAUCUUCGGGGGUAGAGCACUGUUUCGGCUAGGGGGUCAUCCCGACUUACCAACCCGAUGCAAACUACGAAUACCGAAGAAUGUUAUCACGGGAGACACACGGCGGGUGCUAACGUCCGUCGUGAAGAGGGAAACAACCCAGACCGCCAGCUAAGGUCCCAAAGUCAUGGUUAAGUGGGAAACGAUGUGGGAAGGCACAGACAGCCAGGAUGUUGGCUUAGAAGCAGCCAUCAUUUAAAGAAAGCGUAAUAGCUCACUGGUCGAGUCGGCCUGCGCGGAAGAUGUAACGGGGCUAAACCAUGCACCGAAGCUGCGGCAGCGACACUAUGUGUUGUUGGGUAGGGGAGCGUUCUGUAAGCCUGCGAAGGUGACCUGUGAGGGUUGCUGGAGGUAUCAGAAGUGCGAAUGCUGACAUAAGUAACGAUAAAGCGGGUGAAAAGCCCGCUCGCCGGAAGACCAAGGGUUCCUGUCCAACGUUAAUCGGGGCAGGGUGAGUCGACCCCUAAGGCGAGGCCGAAAGGCGUAGUCGAUGGGAAACAGGUUAAUAUUCCUGUACUUGGUAUUACUGCGAAGGGGGGACGGAGAAGGCUAUGUUAGCCGGGCGACGGUUGUCCCGGUUUAAGCAUGUAGGCUGGUUGUCCAGGCAAAUCCGGAUAAUCAAGGCUGAGGUGUGAUGACGAGGCACUACGGUGCUGAAGUAACAAAUGCCCUGCUUCCAGGAAAAGCCUCUAAGCAUCAGGUAACAUCAAAUCGUACCCCAAACCGACACAGGUGGUCAGGUAGAGAAUACCAAGGCGCUUGAGAGAACUCGGGUGAAGGAACUAGGCAAAAUGGUGCCGUAACUUCGGGAGAAGGCACGCUGGUGUGUAGGUGAAGUCCCUGCGGAUGGAGCUGAGACCAGUCGAAGAUACCAGCUGGCUGCAACUGUUUAUUAAAAACACAGCACUGUGCAAACACGAAAGUGGACGUAUACGGUGUGACGCCUGCCCGGUGCCGGAAGGUUAAUUGAUGGGGUUAUCCGUAAGGAGAAGCUCUUGAUCGAAGCCCCGGUAAACGGCGGCCGUAACUAUAACGGUCCUAAGGUAGCGAAAUUCCUUGUCGGGUAAGUUCCGACCUGCACGAAUGGCGUAAUGAUGGCCAGGCUGUCUCCACCCGAGACUCAGUGAAAUUGAACUCGCUGUGAAGAUGCAGUGUACCCGCGGCAAGACGGAAAGACCCCGUGAACCUUUACUAUAGCUUGACACUGAACAUUGAGCCUUGAUGUGUAGGAUAGGUGGGAGGCUUUGAAGCGUGGACGCCAGUCUGCGUGGAGCCAACCUUGAAAUACCACCCUUUAAUGUUUGAUGUUCUAACGUUGGCCCCUGACCGGGGUUGCGGACAGUGUCUGGUGGGUAGUUUGACUGGGGCGGUCUCCUCCCAAAGCGUAACGGAGGAGCACGAAGGUUAGCUAAUCCUGGUCGGACAUCAGGAGGUUAGUGCAAUGGCAUAAGCUAGCUUGACUGCGAGCGUGACGGCGCGAGCAGGUGCGAAAGCAGGUCAUAGUGAUCCGGUGGUUCUGAAUGGAAGGGCCAUCGCUCAACGGAUAAAAGGUACUCCGGGGAUAACAGGCUGAUACCGCCCAAGAGUUCAUAUCGACGGCGGUGUUUGGCACCUCGAUGUCGGCUCAUCACAUCCUGGGGCUGAAGUAGGUCCCAAGGGUAUGGCUGUUCGCCAUUUAAAGUGGUACGCGAGCUGGGUUUAGAACGUCGUGAGACAGUUCGGUCCCUAUCUGCCGUGGGCGCUGGAGAAUUGAGGGGGGCUGCUCCUAGUACGAGAGGACCGGAGUGGACGCAUCACUGGUGUUCGGGUUGUCAUGCCAAUGGCACUGCCCGGUAGCUAAAUGCGGAAGAGAUAAGUGCUGAAAGCAUCUAAGCACGAAACUUGCCCCGAGAUGAGUUCUCCCUGAGACUUUAAGUCUCCUGAAGGAACGUUAAAGACGAUGACGUUGAUAGGCCGGGUGUGUAAGCGCAGCGAUGCGUUGAGCUAACCGGUACUAAUGAACCGUGAGGCUUAACCUUACAACGCCGAAG
rnacentral:rRNA from 1 species